rnacentral:rRNA from 1 species
AUACGGAGGGUCCAAGCGUUAUCCGGAAUCAUUGGGUUUAAAGGGUCCGCAGGCGGUCAAUUAAGUCAGAGGUGAAAGCCCAUCGCGCAACGAUGGAACUGCCUUUGAUACUGGUUGACUUGAGUUAUACGGAAGUAGAUAGAAUAAGUAGUGUAGCGGUGAAAUGCAUAGAUAUUACUUAGAAUACCGAUUGCGAAGGCAGUCUACUACGUAUAUACUGACGCUGAGGGACGAAAGCGUGGGGAGCGAACAGGAUUAGAUACCCCAGUAGUCC